CACACGCGCGCCACGUGACCACAGACGCUCCAGGCAGCGACCUCUGACCUCUGACCCCGCCUUUUACCCUGGGCCUGGGGAGCCUGCCCUUCUUCCGCCUCCUCCCCCCCCCCCCCCGCCGGCCUUUCCUUUUUUCCUGCCGUGUCCUCUGUGCUUCCUGCUGCUGCGCCCGCCCCUCCCCCCGGGAGACAGAGGCCUGGGUCCCUGCCGGGGGCGGGGCCUUGGUUCCCCCAAGCCCCCCCCGACCUUUCUCACCCCCCUGCAGUGUCUGAGCACCUGGCUCGGGUGCAGGCCGGCUGCGGAGUGUUCGCUCCCAGUGGGCCCUGGGGCGGUGCCUGGCAGGCCGGGAGGAGCACGUCCCCGAAUGUGUUUCCUUCGGGCAGGCUCCUGGUGGCAGGACUAGGAGGGCAUCGCGCUGCUGAGCACAUCGCCACCUUCACCUGCUCAUACUGAGCAGGCAUAUCAGCUCCCUAUGUCCACAUUCAACACCCCAGCCAGCCACUAGACUAAACUCUUGUUGCUCUGAGAAUAAGAAUGUCUAGACUGGGUCAAGCCAAUCGUCUGUCUUGCUCAGGAUCCUGUCUUCCGACAGUGGCCAGUGCCAGGUUUUUCAUAUGGAAUGUACAGAAGAGGGAAUUUAUUGCAUGAUCCAUCCCCAGUUGUCCAGUUCUAUUUUCUGGAAGUUGGAGGUUUACCUCAGAGCAUGUGGUUAUGUCUUUGACCAUCUUGGCUAAUACCCAUUGAUGGACCUAUGCUCUAUGAACUUAUCUGAACAAUACACUUCGUGCAGUGGUUGUAUGCCAGCCUGGAGUACUCUGUGCAGGUCAGGAAAGUAUUCUGCAAUCACAGCCUGAAGGGAGAACUAGCCACUCCAUAAUCUUUUCCUACAUCACGCCUAUCUGAAUUAUUCUGUCAGAGUCAGAAACCAGACACCAGGGGAAAGCUCCUGAACUUGAGAUGUCAAAAGCAUCUGGUCUGCUUCCUAUUGAUCGUGGACUUGAACAGUUUACUGAUGGAGCCAGCAACAUUUCCUCCUGUGACGGUUAUUUGUCGGUUUCACUCCAUUGACUUGAGCUUGAGUUUCCAUGGUGAAGCUCCUUGCUGAGGGCCCGCUCUCACACUGAACUUGAAGGAAAAGCUAAAUGGGAGCUGCAUGCUCCAAUAAUUCAAGAUGCUGAGCACCCAAUGCUAUCGCAAACUGGCAUGCAGCGGGUUAACUGGCUCCUCCACUUGGAGCUAUAACUGUUUCCUGAUCUCCAGUCAUUUGAAGAGUGUUUUCUCUACACCUGUGAUGGCAAGAAUGGAGAAUCGAUUGGAGUUUUCAGGUGAAAAUGGAUUGUAACCUGCUGUCCAUAGUGUCAAUGGAGCUGAUUAGCACAUGUGUCUGUCUCCAAUGGAUUGAUCUCACAGGUGAGAAUCGUUCAGAGACCAGCUGGGGCCAUGGCCCUCCUGUAGGGUGCUCACUCAGUGCAGCCCUCACUGUGUCAUUAUUCAGUCUGUGUCGACAA